AUUGAACGCUGGCGGAAUGCUUUACACGUGCAAGUCGAACGGCAGCACGGACUUCGGUCUGGUGGCGAGUGGCGAACGGGUGAGUAAUGUAUCGGAACGUGCCCAGUCGUGGGGGAUAACGUAGUGAAAAUUACGCUAGUACCGCAUACGAUCUAUGGAUGAAAGCGGGGGAUCGCAAGACCUCGCGCGAUUGGAGCGGCCGAUAUCAGAUUAGGUAGUUGGUGGGGUAAAGGCCCACCAAGCCAACGAUCUGUAGCUGGUCUGAGAGGACGACCAGCCACACUGGAACUGAGACACGGUCCAGAAUCCUACGGGAGGCAGCAGUGGGGAAUUUUGGACAAUGGGCGAAAGCCUGAUCCAGCCAUUCCGCGUGCAGGAUGAAGGCCCUCGGGUUGUAAACUGCUUUUGUACAGAACGAAAAGGUUUCUACUAAUACUAGGAGCUCAUGACGGUACUGUAAGAAUAAGCACCGGCUAACUACGUGCCAGCAGCCGCCGUAA
rnacentral:rRNA from 1 species